rnacentral:rRNA from 1 species
CGCCAGACUCCUACGGGAGGCAGCAGUGAGGAAUAUUGGUCAAUGGCCGAGAGGCUGAACCAGCCAAGUCGCGUGAGGGAAGACGUCCCUACGGGUUGUAAACCUCUUUUGUCAGGGAGCAAAGUCACCCACGUGUGGGUGUUGGAGAGUACCUGAAGAAAAAGCAUCGGCUAACUCCGUGCCAGCAGCCGCGGUAAUACGGAGGAUGCGAGCGUUAUCCGGAUUUAUUGGGUUUAAAGGGGGGGUAGGCGGGGUAUCAAGUCAGCGGUAAAAUCGUGGAGCUCAACUCCAUCCAGCCGUUGAAACUGGUGAUCUUGAGUGGGCGAGAAGUAUGCGGAAUGCGUGGUGUAGCGGUGAAAUGCAUAGAUAUCACGCAGAACUCCGAUUGCGAAGGCAGCAUACCGGGGCCCGACUGACGCUGAAGCACGAAAGCGUGGGGAUCGAACAGGAUUAGAUACCCUUGUACAC